rnacentral:rRNA from 1 species
CUACGGGGCGCUGCAGUGAGGAAUAUUGCACAAUGGGGGGAACCCUGAUGCAGCAACGCCGCGUGGAGGAUGACGCAUUUCGGUGUGUAAACUCCUUUUAUAUGUCAAGAAAAUGACGGUAGCAUAUGAAUAAGCACCGGCUAACUCCGUGCCAGCAGCCGCGGUAAUACGGAGGGUGCAAGCGUUACUCGGAAAUCACUGGGCGGAAAGGACGCGUAGGCGGGUUGGAAAGUCAGGUGUGAAAUCCUACAGCUUAACUGUAGAACUGCACUUGAAACUUCUAAUCUAGAGUAUGGGAGGGGGAGAUGGGAAUAGUGGUGUAGGGGUAAAAUCCGUAGAUAUCACUAGGAAUACCUAAAGCGAAGGCGAUCUCCUGGAACAUUACUGACGCUAAGGCGUGAAAGCGUGGGGAGCAAACAGGAUUAGAUACCCUCGUAGUC